rnacentral:rRNA from 1 species
UACGAAGGGGGCUAGCGUUGUUCGGAAUUACUGGGCGUAAAGCGCACGUAGGCGGAUUUGUAAGUCAGGUGUGAAAUCCCAGGGCUCAACCCUGGAAGUGCACUUGAUACUGUAAGACUUGAGUGUGGUAGAGGCUAUUAGAAUUCUUGGUGUAGUGGUGAAAUACGUAGAUAUCAAGAGGAAUACCGGAGGCGAAGGCGGAUAGCUGGGCCAACACUGACACUGAGACCCGAAAGCGUGGGGAGCAAACAGG